rnacentral:tRNA from 1 species
GCCGGAGUGGCGGAAUGGCAGACGCAGGGGACUCAAAAUCCCCCGGGCCUCACAGCUCGUGCCGGUUCAAGUCCGGCCUCCGGCACCA